rnacentral:rRNA from 1 species
AUUGAACGCUGGCGGCAGGCCUAACACAUGCAAGUCGAGCGGAUGAAGGGAGCUUGCUCCUGGAUUCAGCGGCGGACGGGUGAGUAAUGCCUAGGAACCUGCCUGGUAGUGGGGGAUAACGUCCGUAAACGGGCGCUAAUACCGCAUACGUCCUGAGGGAGAAAGUGGGGGAUCUUCGGACCUCACGCUAUCAGAUGAGCCUAGGUCUGAUUAGCUAGUUGGUGGGGUAAAGGCCUACCAAGGCGACGAUCCUUAACUGGUCUGAGAGGAUGAUCAGUCACACGGGAACUGAGACACGGUCCAGACACCUACGGGAGGCAGCGGUGGGGAAUAUUGGGCGAUGGGCGAAAGCCUGAUCCAGGCAUACCGCGUGUGUGAAGAAGGUCUUCGGAUGGUAAAGCACUUUAAGUUGGGGGGAAGGGCAGUAAGUUAAUACCUUGCUGUUUUGACGUUACCAACAGAAUAAGCACCGGCUAACUUCGUG